UGGGGAAUAUUGCACAAUGGGCGAAAGCCUGAUGCAGCAACGCCGCGUGAGUGAUGAAGGUCUUCGGAUUGUAAAGCUCUGUCUUUUGGGACGAUAAUGACGGUACCAAAGGGGAAGCCACGGCUAACUACGUGCCAGCAGCCGCGGUAAUACGUAGGUGGCGAGCGUUGUCCGGAUUUACUGGGCGUAAAGGGUGCGUAGGCGGAUGUUUAAGUGAGAUGUGAAAUACCCGGGCUUAACUUGGGUGCUGCAUUUCAAACUGGAUAUCUAGAGUGCAGGAGAGGAGAAUGGAAUUCCUAGUGUAGCGGUGAAAUGCGUAGAGAUUAGGAAGAACACCAGUGGCGAAGGCGAUUCUCUGGACUGUAACUGACGCUGAGGCACGAAAGCGUGGGUAGCAAACAGGAUUAGAUACCCUGGUAGUCCACGCCGUAAACGAUGAGUACUAGGUGUAGGAGGUAUCGACCCCUUCUGUGCCGCAGUAAACACAUUAAGUACUCCGCCUGGGAAGUACGAUCGCAA
rnacentral:rRNA from 1 species